GACAUCACUCGGCGCUGAACGGAAAAGCAGGCCCCGCUGUCUGCGCUGCAGUUAACACAGCUUCCACAGCAAGCAAAGGCUCUUUGUCCCAAAGUUGUUGGAACUGACAUUUCUGGUUUCCUGUAAGAUACGGUUUGGCAUGGGAGGCACGUUAACACACGCCUACUAGGCCAAAGUGCAGCGAGUCAUGCCAAGCCAAUGACGUGAGGAGGAUCAGUGUAUCCACGAAGGAGGGGGUGAGGAACGCAUAGUAAGCAUCUGUUUUCAUGUAAAAGGCUUUGGGCACGGGGAAAAUGCCACGUGCAGUUACGGGACCCUUUAACAGCAAGUGCUGAUCAUCGCUAACAGGCUGUCCGCUAACAAAAAGGUUUCUGGGUCGUAGAAACUCCAUGAACUUUGGUUAGAUCUAGUCACGGGCCAUAAACGAAUCAAAUAUGGAAAAGACAUCCACUUACCGCCGCUGAGAAGCUUCAUCACCAGCCACAACUCGUCUUUCACGACGAAGGAAGUGUAGUAGGACACGAUGUUAGGAUGGUGGCACUGGCUCAUGGCCUGAAUCUCUUUCUGGGGAGAGAGAACGGGAAAGAGCAACACUAGUCAGCGUCGUCGCUACAUGCAGAUUGACUCCGUUUGAUCGGUAUGGGUAAUACGUUUGCACACAUGCUCAUCCUGCAUGGAUAUUCCCAGGGUAGAGUGAUUCCAACAUCAGGAGGUUUUUGCCAAAUGAUCACAUGACUCAAUUCAAUUCGAUUUGUACAGCACUUUUAACAAUGGACGUUGUCUCACAGCAGCUUUACAGAAACAUAUAAAACACAGGAUAUAGAUUUUAAGUGUGUGGAUUUAUCCCUAUUGAGCGAGCCGAUGGUGGUGAGGAAAAACUCCCUAAGAUGAUACGAGGAAGAAAUCUAGAGUCAGAAGGAAGCCCCGUCCUCAUUUGGGUAACGACUGAUAGCGUGAAAGUAAAGGGAAGGACAUAACAUGAUGUAGGGUAUGGGAAAGCAUCAUCUUCUGUCGUUCAUUAGACCAUACAGAAGGAUAAAUAAUAGCCGAGCAAUACGAGUUUCCAAGUUAAACUAUAAACAAAUCGCAUUUAAGGAUCUAGACAGCUGUACACAACGUGCAGUUCACAGCGAGAUGAAAUAGCAGUUCUCUGAGACUGAAACAAGUUGACAGUCCUUCUAAACACAAGGUCUGUUUGAAUUGAGCAAUAGCUUUAAAAAAAAAAAAAAAAAAAAAAAAAAAAGUCACAGUUACAAGAAAAAUAGGCCAGGGUGCAUUAGUGGACAAUAUAAAUAGAGUCGCUUCCCCAACUCUCCUCUCUUUCUCUCUGUAGAUGCAUAACUAAAACCGUGUGUCAAAGCCUUUUAGGCCCGACACAAGAGAUGGCUGAGGUAAUGUUGGCUCUGCAGCCCAAACUAUCACUCAAUUCACCCCCCUGCCAGAACCCUAGAUUGGUAUCUAGGCUUCCUGUUGUAUUGGAAUUUGUCUACUUGGCAUUACCGUUUGUCACCGGUGUAUACGGGUGUGGGCUUCUAAUCUGUAACGGCAAAAGCCGGCCCUUUUAUUAAAUACCUCGCUGCAACCCUCUAAUCCAAAACUAAAGCAUUGUGUUCCUUAAGUCAGGGCUCACAACUAACCGCUGACCCCUCAACUGACGUUUAUAUCUGGGUGUACUAUUAGGGCAAAGUCAACCAGCCGACAACUUAACCACUGGAGCGGAGAUUUCAAAGUAAACCGCUCGUUAUCGAUUCCGCCGUGUGCAAAUAAUCCGUGCUCGCCGGAAGGACCGUAUGAUGCAAUCGCAGUAGCAUUUUCAUGGGAACGGGAACACCUAGAAACACCUAGAGAGUCUGAGCAACAGCAGAACCUGAACUUGUAGAAACAUGACCAGAAAUCAAGAGCAAUCAACUAUUCCUGGAAUGCAGGAGGCCUGGUAGAGAUGAGUAGAUCCUGGAUUCCUUUCUUAUUUCCCACCUGGCAUCGUGUGAACAAGAUUCUGAGCUAUUCACCCGAUGAACAGCGUUAAUGUCAGAUCGUUUGGCGUCGGUUAGGUUCUGACAUCUACGGCCCCAAAGGUAGCUCUGAUGUUAUGAUAUAGUCCUAACUUUGUUGAUACCAUUUUAUGAAAUUGAAUUCUUUGAAACGAGAUGAUGUGACGCACCGACGCGAAACAACGCACCUGUUAUAGCAAUCUUAUAUUCAAUUAAAUUAGAUUUGUAUAGUUUUACAGAAACAUAUAAACACAGCAUACAGAUUUUAAGUGUGUGAAUUUAUCCCUGUUGAGCGAGCCGGUGGCGAGAAAAAACUCGCAAAGAUGAUACGAGGAAGAAACCUUGAGAGGAACCAGACUCAGAAGGGAACCCGUCCUCAUCUGGGUAACGACGGAUAGUGUGAAAGUAAAGGGAAGUUCGUUAUGGUUUUAACAUGAAGUCUGUUUGUUGAACUAGUCCACUGUUCACUAAAGGAGACCUGAGUGCAAAACUGCAUGUGGUAAUUGCAGUCCCAAGGCCAUCGCAGCAACCGUAGUCCCAGCAACCACAGUGAGAAUGUCCGUGUGGAAUUGAGGUCCAAAAACAUUUCGAUGGUACUUCAAGCGGUACCAUCCUCAGCAAUCUCCAGGCUGCACUGCUUGGGGUUAUACAUCCUAUAUCCACUGGCUCAUUGGAUUUUCCGUGUUUUAGAAGCCGAAACCUUCUAGUUUGUCUUUGCAGACUUGACAAAAAUCUCUACCGGCGAAGUCACUUCAGUGUGAUAUCGAACGCAACCUAGCGCAGUUUAUUCUGAACCUGUUAAGGAAAUGCACAGAGCAGGAUCUGAAGAACCAGGAUUCGGCAGAUUUCUUUGGCGUGAUUGAACCUAUUCGUUAAUGACUAGGUUUUAUGGAGUACACUCCUGUGUUAAUAGCUCUCGUAAAGUCAGAAAGGAAAACCCUAAUGUACAACCUUGAACUGGAGUUUUUGCCUUGCCCGAGUUUGGGCUCAUAACCUGCAAGUUUCAGCCUGCACAGUGUACAAAGUCCUACGAGCCCAAGGAUAUAGGAUUUUCUAAGGGUGGUGUGUCUCGAACAGGUGUCAUGAAAAAUUCUAGUAAAGUAAGGACACCUUUAAGUGGUGAUUGCACAACAUAAAGUGAAGCUUGGAAAGAUACAUUGUGCUCAGGUUUUACAAUGCUUGUACUUUGGUUGGAAAGGUUGGGUAAAGUAAUACUUAAUGCAACAUUCUUGCCCAUUCACCAACUGACAUACAAGAGACGAGCAGGACAAAGGAACCUCCUGGAGGGCAUUGCACUGGUAAUUAUAUGCUUGUGGUACUGAUUCAUUCUGGCCAUGAAAAAAAAAAAAAAAAGAAAGCCAAAAAGAAAGAA